rnacentral:rRNA from 1 species
CCUACGGGAGGCAGCAGUAGGGAAUAUUGCUCAAUGGGCGAAACCCUGAAGCAGCAACGCCGCGUGGAGGAUGAAGGUUUUCGGAUUGUAAACUUCUUUUGUCAGAGAAGAUAAUGAUGGCAUUAAACGAAUAAGAACCGGCUAACUCCGUGCCAGCAGCCGCGGUAAUACGGCGGGUGCAAGCGUUACUCGGAAUAACUGGGCGUAAAGAGCGUGUAGGCGGGGUAGCAAGUCAGAUGUGAAAUCCUAUGGCUUAACCAGAGGACUGCAUUUGAAACUGUUAUUCUAGAGUAUGGGAGAGGUAGGUGGAAUUCUUGGUGUAGGGGUGAAAUGCGUAGAGAUCAGGAGGAAUACUCGUGGCGAAGGCGGCCUGCUGGAACAUAACUGACGCUGAUGCGCGAAAGCGUGGGGAGCAAACAGGAUUAGAUACCCUUGUAGUC